ACUAGUAAUCGUAAUUAAAUUCGAUCCAAACAUGCCCUUAAAUUGUCUUUUAAGAUGUCAUGUUGCAAUAACAAUGUACUCAAAGCAAUGGAUUUCACUAGCCAACGGAUAAUUGUAAGCCACCUUCUUAAUGACACCUGUUCUCUAAACUCAUCGCUUUAAGAACUUUGGUUGAUUUCAUUUAGGAUGUUUUUCUGGAGUAAGGCUGCUUGUUGACAUCUUUAUGAUUUCUCAUCAUAGAAUGUAAAUGGACAAGGUGCUUACUAAAAUAUCACAUGAUAUUCUUCUUUUACUGCAGUGUGGUGAAUGGGGCUCUGGAAUACCUUUCUAAGGAUCUUGCGAUUGCUGAGAACACCGUGCUACAAGGAAAGUGCAGCAAUGAUGCGUUUCUUUGAUCAUGAUGCAAAUCAGCAUUUAUUAUUCAUAUCAGUCCAAUUAAACUAAGUGUCAUGGCAUGCUACAAUUAACCUAUUUUAACCUUCUGACCUUACAAUUUCAUUCAAUCCACACUUGUUCACGCCUUGUAAGUUGUAACAGAGUUUCAUAUGAUCUCCAUUGUUUAUCUUUCAAGUGUUCAACAUUACAAUUUCUCAUAACAUUUAAAUUUUUGGACAAGAUGGGUUGUUAGCACAACCCUUGCAGGUGCCACUGUUGGUUCAUUCACUGGGAGAGCAUUAGCUGAUAAAUUCGGUAGAACAAGGACUUUUCAACUAGAUGCAAUCCCACUUGCAGUUGGAGCAUUUCUCUGGUCUGUGACAUAUCCUUUGACUGUAAGUUUGUAAAAUUGGAUUUAGUAGUAGCAAGGUAUUUUGUGUAAUGUGCUUAGCAUACUAUUUUACUAUGUUAAAGUGAAUGUACUAGUACGCACUAUUUGUACUCUUGUAUUAUUGUUCCAAGUGUGUAUAUUUACUCUUUUUUUCUCUUUUUUUGAGAUGUAACUUUAAUUUUUUCAUUUGAGCAACUUCUACUUCUUUUCCUGCAGCCUUGGUAUGCACAUGGUAUUGCUGAAGCCAUAUUACGCAGAGCUGACCUUUCAGUUCCUCUAAAACUUUGCACGCUGAGUAAUCGACCUCAGUCCGAGCUCUCCAAUUAGGCAGCAAUGUAGCAGUUUGUCCUCCACGCUUGAUUAAGAAACACAUCAUUUGCAGUUUAUCUUUCAAAAGAAUAGAGUGAGCCAAAAGACUUCCUGGUGACCCAUGGGCUGAGUUAUGUCUAUUCCUAACAGAGCGAGCCAAAAGACCUCAAGUAGCCGAAAGGCCUAAUGACUAGGCACAUCCAAGCCUACCAUUCUUGUAAUAUUUUGAACCUUGGUCGCCUCUAAAUACGUUAUCAAAACCGUUGAUCUGAUGGGACUCAAAUGGGUUUGCUGUAUGAACUUCUAUAUUAAACAAUUGCUGAACAUUGUAGUAUUUACUGAUCUGGUUUUUGGGAUUUUCUUCUUUCCUACUCAAAGUAGAAAUGUUCAUAUAAUGAUUAUCAGCUAUUCAUACAGCAAACACACUCAUAAACGGUGAAA